UGGGCAACCUGCCCCGAUGACUGGGACAACCCGAGGAAACUCGGGCUAAUACCGGAUGUGCUCCCUCACAUCAGUGAGGUGAGUAAAGGAAGCUUCGGCCUCCGCAUUGGGAUGGGCCCGCGGCCCAUUAGCUUGUUGGUGGGGUAAUGGCCUACCAAGGCAACGAUGGGUAGCUGGUCUGAGAGGACGAUCAGCCACACUGGGACUGAGACACGGCCCAGACUCCGUAGGAGG
rnacentral:rRNA from 1 species